AGUGAGACGGACGAGCUGCAAAAAUGGCGGCACCCGCCUCGCCACUCCACCCUCUCGCCGCCAUAGCAGCAGCUCUCCUCCUCCUCCUCGUCGCAGCCCCCUCUGCAGCAGCUGCAGCUAGCCCCGUCUUCCCCGGAGUCCCUCCCCUGCAGCUGCAAGCUCUGCAGCAGCGGCGGCCGGCGAGCUCCGCCGGCGGCAGCAGGUAUGUCGUCGCCGCGGCGGCGGCGGCGGCCGGAGGGAACGGCACAGCGGCGGCGGCGAAGCCGUUCACGGCGCACUACUUCCCGCAGGAGCUGGACCACUUCACCUUCACGCCCAACGCGUCGGCCGUCUUCUACCAGAAGUACCUCGUCAACGACACCUUCUGGCGGCGGAGCGCCGCCGCCGGCGAGACGCCGGCCGGGCCGAUAUUCGUGUACACCGGCAACGAGGGCGACAUCGAGUGGUUCGCCACCAACACCGGCUUCAUGUUCGACAUCGCGCCCAGCUUCGGCGCCCUGCUCGUCUUCAUCGAGCAUCGAUUCUACGGGGAGUCGAAGCCGUUCGGCAACGAGUCGAACAGCUCGCCGGAGAAGCUGGGGUACCUGACGUCGACGCAAGCGCUCGCCGACUUCGCCGUCCUCAUCACCAGCCUCAAGCACAACCUCUCCGCCGUCUCCUCCCCCGUCGUCGUCUUCGGUGGCUCCUACGGCGGCAUGUUGGCUUCAUGGUUCAGGCUAAAGUAUCCCCAUGUCACCAUUGGCGCCGUCGCGUCCUCUGCUCCGAUCCUGCAGUUCGACUACAUAACUCCAUGGAGCAGCUUCUACGAGGCCGUCUCGCAAGAUUACAAGUCUGAAAGCUUCAAUUGCUUCAGUGUUAUCAAGGCAGCUUGGGAUUUGAUAGAUGAGAGGGGAUCCACUGAUGCAGGGCUCUUACAGCUCAGCAAAACCUUCAGAGCCUGCAAGACUGUGAAAUCGGUUUACUCGUUCAGAAACUGGCUAUGGACAGCAUUUGUGUACACAGCCAUGGUGGACUAUCCAACCCCGGCCAAUUUCCUGAUGAAUCUGCCUGCCUAUCCUAUCAAGGAGAUGUGCAAGAUCAUCCACGGCUUCCCUGCAGGAGCAGACAUCGUUGACAAAGCUUUCGCAGCGGCGAGUCUGUACUACAAUUACACAGGAGAUCAAACAUGCUUCCAGUUAGAGGAUGGAGAAGACCCCCAUGGCCUCAGUGGUUGGGGAUGGCAGGCCUGCACAGAAAUGGUCAUGCCGAUGACGAUAUCGAACGAGAGCAUGUUCCCUCCAUUCACCUUCACUUAUGAGGGGAAAUCUGAUGACUGUUUCCAGAGCUACGGUGUUCGUCCGAGACCACACUGGAUCACCACUGAAUAUGGUGGAAAUAGAAUUGACCUGGUGCUCAAGAGGUUUGGGAGCAACAUCAUCUUCUCCAACGGAAUGCGAGACCCAUGGAGCCGUGGCGGCUGUAGCAAACCAUAAUGUAUUUAUCCCUCCCUACUGCUUUGCAAUCAGGGUGCUCAAGAACAUAUCAUCUAGUAUCAUUGCCCUUGUCACGGAGAAAGGAGCUCAUCAUUUGGACUUCAGAUCAGCAACUAAAGAUGAUCCAGAUUGGGUUGUAGAACAACGAAGACAAGAAGUUAAGAUCAUACAGGGAUGGAUAGAUCAGUACAACGAGGACCUUGCACAGAUAUCAAAAUGAGAAGAUGCAGUUACUGCGACAGACAAUCGAAACAUGAGACUGUCUACACAGUAAUCAACUGUUUUUGGCUACAUGGAAAAAAUAAGGAAAAGGAAUUUUUCUUUCUUGCAGGCUGUUAGACAGAAAAUUAAAUUAAGGUAACAUACAGUGGAAACUCAAUAAGUCACUCAGAAAGGUUGUAAGCGGCUAACCCGCGAAACCCACUUAUAGGCCAAAAUAAGCCACAAACUCGUUUAUUUUGACCUAUAAGUGGGUUCGCGGCUUACCCACUUACACCCAGUCAGAAUCAGAAAUUGUGACACCCAAAUAUUCCAUGGUUCCAUUUAUCUCCCAGUAAAUAAUUGGUUCUAUAUCUGCACAGUAAA